rnacentral:rRNA from 1 species
GAUGAACGCUGGCGGCGUGCCUAAUACAUGCAAGUCGAGCGAACGGACGAGAAGCUUGCUUCUCUGAUGUUAGCGGCGGACGGGUGAGUAACACGUGGAUAACCUACCUAUAAGACUGGGAUAACUUCGGGAAACCGGAGCUAAUACCGGAUAAUAUUUUGAACCGCAUGGUUCAAAAGUGAAAGACGGUCUUGCUGUCACUUAUAGAUGGAUCCGCGCUGCAUUAGCUAGUUGGUAAGGUAACGGCUUACCAAGGCAACGAUGCAUAGCCGACCUGAGAGGGUGAUCGGCCACACUGGAACUGAGACACGGUCCAGACUCCUACGGGAGGCAGCAGUAGGGAAUCUUCCGCAAUGGGCGAAAGCCUGACGGAGCAACGCCGCGUGAGUGAUGAAGGUCUUCGGAUCGUAAAACUCUGUUAUUAGGGAAGAACAUAUGUGUAAGUAACUGUGCACAUCUUGACGGUACCUAAUCAGAAAGCCACGGCUAACUACGUGCCAGCAGCCGCGAUAAUACGUAGGUGGCAAGCGUUAUCCGGAAUUAUUGGGCGUAAAGCGCGCGUAGGCGGUUUUUUAAGUCUGAUGUGAAAGCCCACGGCUCAACCGUGGAGGGUCAUUGGAAACUGGAAAACUUGAGUGCAGAAGAGGAAAGUGGAAUUCCAUGUGUAGCGGUGAAAUGCGCAGAGAUAUGGAGGAACACCAGUGGCGAAGGCGACUUUCUGGUCUGUAACUGACGCUGAUGUGCGAAAGCGUGGGGAUCAAACAGGAUUAGAUACCCUGGUAGUCCACGCCGUAAACGAUGAGUGCUAAGUGUUAGGGGGUUUCCGCCCCUUAGUGCUGCAGCUAACGCAUUAAGCACUCCGCCUGGGGAGUACGACCGCAAGGUUGAAACUCAAAGGAAUUGACGGGGACCCGCACAAGCGGUGGAGCAUGUGGUUUAAUUCGAAGCAACGCGAAGAACCUUACCAAAUCUUGACAUCCUUUGACAACUCUAGAGAUAGAGCUUUCCCCUUCGGGGGACAAAGUGACAGGUGGUGCAUGGUUGUCGUCAGCUCGUGUCGUGAGAUGUUGGGUUAAGUCCCGCAACGAGCGCAACCCUUAAGCUUAGUUGCCAUCAUUAAGUUGGGCACUCUAAGUUGACUGCCGGUGACAAACCGGAGGAAGGUGGGGAUGACGUCAAAUCAUCAUGCCCCUUAUGAUUUGGGCUACACACGUGCUACAAUGGACAAUACAAAGGGCAGCGAAACCGCGAGGUCAAGCAAAUCCCAUAAAGUUGUUCUCAGUUCGGAUUGUAGUCUGCAACUCGACUACAUGAAGCUGGAAUCGCUAGUAAUCGUAGAUCAGCAUGCUACGGUGAAUACGUUCCCGGGUCU